UACGAAGGGGGCUAGCGUUGUUCGGAAUUACUGGGCGUAAAGCGCACGUAGGCGGACAUUUAAGUCAGGGGUGAAAGUCCCAGAGCUCAACUCUGGAACUGCCUUUGAUACUGGGUGUCUUGAGUAUGGAAGAGGUGAGUGGAAUUCCGAGUGUAGAGGUGAAAUUCGUAGAUAAUUCGGAGGAACACCAGUGGCGAAGGCGGCUCACUGGUCCAUUACUGACGCUGAGGUGCGAAAGCGUGGGGAGCAAACAGGG
rnacentral:rRNA from 1 species